UAACCUCUGAUCCUUCCCACAG
rnacentral:miRNA from 1 species